ACUGGCACACAAGCUGGAGCCGGACGAACUGUCCCUCCUUGUGUGAGACGCUCGCGGCCAAUAGGAAGGCAGCUUGCUCAUCUCAAGCCACGCCCCUAAAUGAAGGCGGGCGUCUUUUUUAAGCGACGUUUUCUUUUAUAAACCACAGUUCCCAAGUCUACGCUUCAUACUUUGGCGAUGACUGAGAAGUGGACCGCGCCGAUGUGGGAGGAGGAAUGUGGGGGCUGCAACCAUGAUUGCCCGUAACCAUAGAAGGAAAAAAGUGGGAUUUUCCUUCAGACUUUUCGUGGUCAUCAGCUGGAUGGGCAAAAACUACAACAACAAAAAAAGUACUGUACUAUAUCGGCAACAAACUUGUUGCGCCAAGUCAACGCUGGUCCGAUUGCGCCCUCUGGUGGACACCUGACGAAAGUCCUCCAAUGACAAUCAAACGCGUUCUCCUCGACUCCGGAGGAGUUCUGUUUGGUCCCACGCAAAAAGAUGACAACAACCAGGAGGAGGAGACGACCAUCUGCGGUCACGCUGAAGAUGACAUUUUUGCAGCUUCACACUUACUCACCAUAGCAUGUGAGAGCAACGAUCAUACGGUGAGGUGGGCGACACAGCCAAGCCGUAUGCCCGCUGACAUUUUUGGAUCGACGCUGCGUUGGCGCGCUAGGUAGCGACCGUAAAGUGAGCCUCGCCUGACAUCGGCUCAUUCCUCGACGCCCGGCAGGCAGAUGGCGUGAACGUGUGCUACCAUGGCGGGAAGAGCAGCGGAUAUCUGCGAAGCGCUGCAAAAUCCCGAUCUUGGAAAGCCUCCUCCAAAGGUGGUAGCGGCUCGCUAUUAACUGACAGAGGCGGCAGUUGAGCAACGGUGGCGAACAUCAUGAUUGACAAGUAGACUGCCCAAACUGGCAAAAAAAAAAAUGGAGGCAAACGAGAAGAUAAGACUUCAUUUCAUUGUAUGUGGUGUGCUCAGACAAACGGACACGCUUGCGUCUUUGUAUUAUUUUUCAAUACUAACAUCUGGAUCAUAUUUACAGUAUUUACAAUCACUUAAAAAAAACAGAGCGAAGUUAUAAAAAUAACAUUUCACAUCGUAUCGAUGAAUGGAUUAGACACAUCAAGCCACAGUCUGCUAAAAAAAAAUAAAAUAAUAACACGCACUGUCUGC